GCCGUAAACGAUGGGCACUAGGUGUAGCGGGUAUUGACCCCUGCUGUGCCGUAGCUAACGCAUUAAGUGCUCCGCCUGGGGAGUACGGCCGCAAGGCUAAAACUCAAAGGAAUUGACGGGGGCCCGCACAAGCGGUGGAGCAUGUGGUUCAAUUCGACGCAACGCGAAGAACCUUACCUGGAUUUGACAUCCUUUGACAGCCCCGGAAACGGGGUCUUCCCUGCUUGCAGGGACAGAGUGACAGGUGCUGCAUGGCUGUCGUCAGCUCGUGUCGUGAGACGUU
rnacentral:rRNA from 1 species